UACAAUCAUGUUCCUGUUAGCUGACUUCCUUUUGAAUUGACGCAGGAAUUACAAUUUAUGCAAAACACCAUGGGAAAAAGACGAAGGGAACAAAGUUACCAAGAUGGAAGUGUGGCAGGAGCAUCAAAGAUGCUCAGAAUCUGGGUCACCACCAGCCACUCAGCUGCUUCUUCAUUUGCCUCUGGUUGGGAGCAUUCCAGGACAAAGAAACAUCGACACACCAAUGAAUCAAUGAACUGUAGAGUUGGAAGGUACCCAAGGGUCAUCUAGUUCUAGUCCAAGCCUCUGCAAUGCAGGAGACCCAUAUGGGGAUCGAACCUGCAAUCCUGGCGUUACCAGCACCAGCUAACCAACUGAGCUAGCUGGCUUCCCAGUAUGCUCCGCAAGACCCCAUUGGCUACUGACGGUCCCUAUUCUCUGAUCUAAAAUGUCCCUAUUUUUUUUUUACUUUUUGGGAAAUGCCUGUUAAAAUGUUGCUAAUGUGAAUUGCUAGCACUGUUGUUCUUUAGGGUUCAAGUCUCUCUCUCCAGCUCAACCUCUGAGUGGGGUGGCACUGGUAGCAUCUUCUCUUCCUCCAGAGCACAUGAGCAUAGAGCUGCAAUGUACAGUAGUUCACAGCUUACCAAUUUCAUAAGCUAUGGAGGCUUGUUUUGCAUAGUUGCUAACAAAUUGUAGGUGCUUAAAUCAGCAAAAGACAGUUGACUUCAGGGUAGCUUAAUAAGGCACACAUGAGGUGGAGCAGAGACUCAAACUAAGUGCAAUAAUAGUCCGUGUGAGGAUCUUGGUAUGAGAAUCAGGUGUUACAAGGAGCACACUCACAUUUUAAAUGCAUGGUCCAAGAUAUUAAACUUUCUUCCUUCCUCUCAAAGUUUCCCUUCUCUUUCAGACCUAUAUACUUUUGUUUUACCGUUCAUGUCUCCACUAAAUAACCCAAAGUAAUGUACUGGUGUACUUUCCAGAGUCUAUAUAUGCUACUCCAGCUCCAGAGGCCUCACAUUUCUGCCCAACUGGUCUGUCCAGUGGACAGCUACGAGUUCCACAGCAUCAGGCUUACAAAGACCAGGUGUGUGACUGCCAGAUGUUUCGCUACACCAGCAAGAGCACAAACAAUGCCAGUUGCCUAGCAGUGCAGUCAUCUCUAGGGCUGUGGGCCUGGGUUACUAAGGAACCUGAACCUAUAGCCACUCCCCUCCCUCUGCUGAGCCCAACAAAAUAAGGAGAAGUUAGUGGAGGGAAGAAGGUAACAAAAAUGAGGAGUAAAGACUGGAAGCAAGGAAAAGAAGUUUCUUCUUGAACAGUUGCUGGGGUGGGGGGAGAUACAGCCAAGUGCCAAGGACUACGCCAGAUUUCUUUUGCCUUCACACAUUGUAGUUCCUUGGUCACAUGCAUUUUAUAGUGCUAUGAAUAUGUAUGUAAUAUGACAAAUAAAAAUGUUGAUUCUUCUAUUUGUCCAGCAUCCUACAUUAAAAUAACUGUUUUAACGAAGAACUAAAGGGAGGCAGAAAAAUAUCAGAGUUCCUAAGCAAUUGCUAUUCCACAGAGAAAAAAUAAGUGAGUAAUUAAGGCGCUGUCCGCAACACUAUUCUUAGCUACUCCUGACAGCCGUAAGAAACGUGUUUCCAUGGAAAGCAAAACAGGUAUUGAAGAGCAAAGCGCAAAAGUGCUAUUUUGUCCCUUCUGUUUUCUUAUGGCUUAUAAAGAUAUAUAUAGAAGCCUGGCCUUUAGUCAAGCCGCAGUUCCAGCAGAGCCUCCAGAACUUUUGGAUGGGCUUCGUAAUCCACCGCAACAAAAGGUCAUUAAAAC